rnacentral:snRNA from 1 species
UGUGAUUUCUGCCCAGUGCU